CCUAUCUUUGGUAUGCAAA
rnacentral:siRNA from 1 species